AACGAACGCUGGCGGCAUGCCUAACACAUGCAAGUCGAACGAGACCUUCGGGUCUAGUGGCGCCCGGGUUCGUCACGCGUGGGAACCUGCCCUUAUGUUCGGCCUACCUCCCCGAAAGGGGUGCUAAUACCGGACCAUGUCUUCUGACCAAUGAUUUAUCGCCCUGGGUUGGGCCCGCGUUGGAUUCGCUAGUUGGUAGGGUAAAAGCCUACCAAGGCGACAAUCCAUAGCUGGUCUGAGAGGAUGAUCAGCCACACUGGGACUGAGACCCGGCCCAGACUCCUACGGGAGGCAGCAGUGGGGAAUAGAGGACAAUGGGCGAAAGCCUGAUCGAGCAAUGCCGGGUGAGUGAUGAAGGCCGUAGGGUUGUAAAGCGCUUUUACCCGGGAUGAUAAUGACAGUACCGGGAAAAUAAGCUCCGGCUAACUCCGUG
rnacentral:rRNA from 1 species